CUGUGUUUCUGAAAGUUCUCACAAUGCUAAAAAAUAACAAAUCAAGCCACUGAAUAUCCAGAUAAUUUCACUGAACUGUAUUAAAAGGAAUAGAGAAGAAAAAAUAAAAAGAAAUAAAGAAAAAAUCAUACGAUUUCUUUACUAUUGUAUAAAACAAAAGCUCCUCUAAGUAGGCAAAUGUUCAUAAGAAGUUCAUUUAAACCAGAAAAUGGUAAGGAUUCCAAUUUGGGUCUUCGUUAUUUAAUUUGCUUUGGUGGAAAGGCGAUUUUCCUCCCUAUUGUCUUUGUGACCACGUCUCAGUAACCAGAGACUAUUGGACCAAUCAAUAUGGUGGAAACACCAAGUCACCUGUGAACUGAUCUCAGUCAUUUAGACUGUAAACUCCAAGAGGGAGGGAUUAUGCCUUGUUCAUCUUGCCUGUCCUUUAUGACCUGCAUGGUGGAAUGCUUAUAAGAGAUGCCCAAUAUAGGUUUCUGUACCAUAAUGAAAAGUCUUAUUACCUUCUGUUUCUAUAAUAGCUUAUACCACCUGGUAGACAUAUAUUGGGGUGCUUACCAACGAUAAAGGGAAAAAAGAGAGAGAGAAGAGGGGGAAAAAAGAGACAGGGUGGGGGCAGAUCACUCAGAUGAACUAUAUCCCUUGUUUCUGACUCUGAGUUCCCCACCUGGGCUGGGUCAGAUGCUCGGCCUCCCAACAGAGGGUAAGACCCCAGAAAGGCUAUCAUUCCUUGACCGGAGAGAUGUGUGCUCAUGCACAGAGCCUGGGUAGCAACAGAACAGCAGUAUAUGACGCGAUAUGCCUCUGAUAGAAUCAGCGGCCUCAUGUAGGUACUAAAGCCAGCAGUAACAAGGCUCCCCGGAUGCAGCCAUCAAUUGAAGGAGCUGGAGAACAGUUCUUCCCCUUGGCGUAUCCAAAUCCUCUGAAAGAGAGAAUCCAUGAUGGGUGGAUGGUUUCUUCUUGCUUCCUGCAGGUUGUUUCGUUGCUAUCUGAUGUUGGGAGAAGAAUUCAACGGAUGAAAAUGGACUGUUCACUCUUAUUUAUACAGCAUUUUCCCCUCCGGUUUCAUCCUGAUGCCUGUCAAUUGCAAAACGGGAGAUUAACCACAUGCUUCAAAAGACCGUCUGAAUCACCAUCUCCUCCUUCUGGAUUGGGAGAAAAUGUCUGUGGUAGAGAGACUAGGUGGCAUAAGACAGUCGUCCCUGUCUGGUUGGAGCCAUUUCUGAGAAUGGCGCUCCUUGCAGAGCCAGGAGGUGCUUUUUGUUCAUUUCCCGUACACAUCACGUGUUGUCUAAUACUCAGCCAUGGCCUUGGCACACAGUAAACAUCCAGUAAAAGUUUUCAUCAGUGGAUGAAUAAAUGGGUGGAUUUUGUGGACCUAUGUGGACUAAAAUAUGUAGGAAGCCAAUGUUUGACUUAAUACCCUAGACAUCAUUGUAACUGAUAUUUUUCAAUAAUUCCAUUUUUGCAAAGCCUUGUUUCCAUUUGGGUUCAAUUACUUAGGGAAAAAUCUCCUCACUUCCCACCCUCUUAUAAUUAAAAAGCAUGUUCUGUUAA